rnacentral:lncRNA from 1 species
AAACAAAAAGUGUAUAUUGAAGUGAUUAUUUUUGAAUGGUAACUGUCAAAAGUGAAAAUGUUGCACUCCUGACCAUGUAGGGUAUGCUCAUUAAAUUAACUCUCACAAAUUGGAUGUGAGUUGCAGCAGUAAAAUAUUUGUUUGAUUAGACAGAUGAGAUAUUGUUUUAAAAGUAUAAAUGUCUUUUAUACUUACAUUGCAAUCCUUGAAUUAAAAAUAC